rnacentral:rRNA from 1 species
UACGUAGGGGCAAGCGUUGUCCGGAAUCAUUGGGCGUAAGAGCGUGUAGGCGGCCCGGUAAGUCCGCCGUGAAAGUCCAGGGCUCAACCCUGGAAUGCCGGUGGAUACUGUCGGGCUAGAGUCCGGAAGGGCGAGUGGAAUUCCUGGUGUAGCGGUGAAAUGCGCAGAUAUCAGGAUGGAACACCGGUGGCGAAGGCGGUGGUCUGGGCCGGUACUGACGCUGAGGAGCGAAGCGUGGGGAGCGAACAGG